UCCUGCCCCUUUGCCAGUGAAGUCCCUUCCUCAGGACCCUAUGGGGCUUUCUGAAGGGUUUUUCUCUCCUCCCCAUGGCAGGCUGGGGACAAAGCCAGGUGCUGGCUCCUGAGCUGCUCCACCAGCCCAGAGCAACCAGGAGACCUCAGCAAGGAGCUGGUGGUGAUGGAGCAAGUGGUGACAACACGCAUACACAUGGCAGAGGACCAGGCUCAGUGCUAAUCCCAGUGCAGAAAAGCCACAGGCUCCCACAGAGCUCACCAUUUCCCUUGCUAGCAGUUGGCUUCCAGAGCUGAAGAGGUGGGAACUGAAGGCUGUGUAAGGUAUUCAUCACCUCCAGGACUCUUCCCAGUUACCAGAGCUCUUUCACCGCCAAGCAAGUGGCAAGGAACGUUUCAGUACUGAGGCUCACCU